rnacentral:rRNA from 1 species
CCUACGGGAGGCAGCAGUGGGGAAUAUUGCACAAUGGGGGAAACCCUGAUGCAGCGACGCCGCGUGAGUGAAGAAGUAUUUCGGUAUGUUAAGCUCUAUUAGCAGGGAAGCAAAUGACGGUACCUGAUUAAGAAGCCCCGGCUAACUACGUGCCAGCAGCCGCGGUAAGACGGAGGGGGCCAGCGUUAUCCGGAUUUACUGGGUGUUAAGGGAGCGUAGACGGCAGCACAAGUCUGGAGUGAAAUGCCGGGGCUUAACCCCGGAACUGCUUUGGAAACUGGGCAGCUAGAGUGCAGGAGAGGUAAGUGGAAUGCGUAGUGUAGCGGUGAAAUGCGUAGAUAUUAGGAGGAACACCAGUGGCGAAGGCAGCUUACUGGACUGUAACUGACGUUGAGGCUCGAAAGCGUGGGGAGCAAACAGGAUUAGAUACCCCUGUAGUC